rnacentral:ncRNA from 1 species
GUAUCCUGGUAUGCCACAAUUGCCAUGCAGAAAUUCACGCUGGCUUGCAUGACCUAGCAGCACUACUCGGCGACGAGUAGCGAAAAAUCGGGUGAAUUCAGGAAAGCCGCAGCACUUCGGGUGGCGGUAAUCCUGAGCCAAGCCCGGCGAAGGGCGGUGGUUCUCCAAACCACUAGUAGCCGGGAAGGUGCAGAGACUAGGGAUGAGGAGCCCAUCCAAUAAAUCCCACAGCGCCCGACAUCCCACGUGGAUGAUGAGAUAGUCCACCCCUCGCAGAAACGCGGGG